UGGAAGGAGAGAAAGACAGCCUAACCUACCUCACAGGGUUCUUGUGAGGAUCAAAUGGGGAAGCAGACGAGAACAUCAACUCCACUAAGCCUUUCCAGCAGAACCUGCAAGAUUACAAAAAGGGAAAUGGAGCUCAAAAGGUAACUAUGGAACAGGCCAGGCAAAAUUACCCCUGAUGUGUAACGUGAUUAUCUAGUGGUAAUAACCAUGGAUUUUGGAUUUUAUUUUAUUUUUGCUAAGCAUCUUCUAGGAACAGCUAUUUAGCUCAUUGCUGAGACAACACAAAGCGUUGACUCUAUACAAAAAACUUGGAUCCUCUAGCACUGAAGGUAAUAUAUUUAAAAUACCAAUUUAAAAACCAGAUCUAGCAGUCAGCUUCCUUUGCCAGUAACUUCCCAUCUGGAAACUAGCGCUGCAGUUGAAGGAAGGUAACUUUUAAAUACUCUUGAUUUGUCAGAAGUGGCGACAAGUGCAAACACCUAACAAGUAAACUUGAAAUGCUACAUCAUAAUUAAAGUAACAGUGCAGUUGCAUGUAUUCUGACUGAAGGGCUUCUAGGUGAGUAUUUUGUGCUUGGCUGGAGAAAAAAUCUCUUUUCCACCUGCAAUUCUUGUGCUAAGACACUUUAAAGUCUUAACGUUUUAUUUACCUUACAAACUAAUUAGUCUUUGGAUGAAGACUACUCAGUGAUCUUUUUCAAUGCAAUGCUUUUGUAUCAGUCUCUCCUUUCUGUAUAUUCCCAUCUCAAAAUGGAGCCUUAAACUCUGGAAUAUGUCUCCAGUGUGUCUUGCAAGUGGAGGAUUCCAGUGGAGGGAGAACGAAUGCUUGAGGAGCAUUGUAGUGAGUAGAGCUGUACUGAAAGGACUGGCCUUUCCAGCAGCAAUGACAAGAUUACAUAAUCAAUGGGAAACGGACAAACUAUACAACAGGGCAGGCAAAACUAUCACCAAUAGGUAAGGUGGCUGUAGUAGUAAUAACUCUAAAAUAAUGGCCUAUGAUUUCACUGACAAAUGCGUUAAGGGGGUGGAUUAUGCUGUAUCCCUCACCGCUCCAUGUGCAUCCCUCCCGAAGCGGCGCACUCGGUGGAAGAGGACGACCAUCCCAGAUUGGAGGAGUGUACCUUUCUUCGGUCAAGGGUAUACGAGAGCUGUGCUCCCCUGCUAUUGUGUUCCAUCUGCAACUCUUUGUGCUAAGACUCUUUCAGGUUGCGGUGACUGAGACGUCAGAAGAGGCCCUAUUCUGUGUCACCACAAUGAGGCUCACCUGCAGGUAAGAGAGCACUUAUUUUGCUCCAGCUCCUCCUUUCUUCAGGCUUCCCAGAAUUCACUGAAGCAGAUCUGUUCAGUUGAUGAGAAAGAUGCAAUGUGUGUAAGAGCUCUUGAUACAUCAAGAAAAACCCUGCAGUGAGAGUCACCAGCACUAGGACAGUGCUGAUUUAGGUAAAUUCACGUUGCACCAUUCAGUAUUUUUUUCCAGGGUAAUGUUUUUUGUAUGGGUCUCUCCUUUUACUCAUUUUCUUUUCUGAUGGUCUCUUCGCAGUUCUCUCCAAAAGAUCCUGCAACACUCAGAUGAAGCCAGCUCUUCCGGCUAAGUCCCAGAAGUCACAGUGGUAAGAAAAGCUUUUUUUAAAAAAACACAAAACUUAUUUUCUGCAGGAUUGGUGGAAGGUGGCUGGGGACAAACUAGUGACUCUAGAUUGUAACCCAACUGAAGGAGCUGCCAGACACAUGAAGUCACACCUCAAAUGGACAAACGAAAGGGUGAGCAUUGAGCAAUCUUUCCUCUUUCCACACCAAGCUUAAUGGCAGAGAUUUAAAUCUGACUUUCAUCUCUCUGUUCUGCCCCUCUAGAUUAAUGGCUUAUCUAGCUUCAAUCAAAAAUGGCGGUCAAAAUGGUAUUCCAGGAUUGAAGGACAUUUGGCUCCUCCUUUCUUCAGGCUUCCCAGAGCUCACUGUACCUGAAGCAAAUCUGUUCAGUUGACGAGAAAGACGCAGUGUGAGUAAGAGCUCUUGAUACUUCAAGAAAAACCCUGCAGUGAGAGUCACCAGCACUAGGACAGUGCUGCUUUAGUUGAAAUGGUAUUCCAUGAUUGACAUGCAUUUAGGUGAGUAUUCCUUGCUUGGCUAGGGAGGAAAUCUGUAUUGUGUUCUGUAUGAAACUGUUUGUGCUAUGGCUCUUUCAGG